AAUAAUAUACAAACUCAAAACCAUGUUAGGGAAAGAAAGCUUAUUUGUCCACCUCUAACCACAUUCUUGCCAAAUCAUCAUUAAUUAAUAUUACUUUCAUUCCAUAUUUAGCUUAUGGUGCCAACUUGGAUGCUUGAGUUGGAAGAAAAAUUUAAAUUUUGAAUUUCCCUCUUCUUUUGGUUUUGUUGGGUCUUAUUUUUGCAUUCAAACAAGUGAAAAACUGAUCUGGCCCAGUUGGUGAAGCCCAUUUCGCUACCAAACAAAAAAAUACUUACCUGGAAAGGAAAAAAAGAAGCACGCGUAAACAUUUUGGGCAAUUCCUUUCUCCCUCCACGCGACCCAACCAGAAAAACGCUAUCAAAUUGAUGCAAGCCUACAGAAAUCCUCUCUGACUCUUAUCAGUACACUCCCAGCGGAUUUUAUGGCUUUAAUCGAUAUCUCUUCAACGUUGAACAGAACAGAGCAACCAAAUUCAAAUUUCCCCUUCAAUCUCUCACUCUGUUCUUUAUCUUCUCUCAUUUUUUUUGGAUUGCUUCAUUUCUCCUUCUCUUUUGACAAAUCCAGCAACGGGAAAGAAUGAGGAAUCAUCGCACACGACGGAGGCGAGAAAGAAUGAGUAAUCAGCAUACACAAAGACGUUAAGGAAAGAAAGUUCUUAGAAAGUUCUUAGGUGACAGAUGGGUUCCUCUGUGUUUAAAGGAAUUUGAUCCCUUUUAGGAAAGAAAGUUCUUAAAACUCAUAAAGGAGCUAAAAGUAAUGGAAAUAAGAAAAAUUAUAGCUUUCUGGGAUUUUGUUCAUCAAUCAUUUCAUAAAGGAUGUUUCAGGUGUUUUAGAAAAAAGGAACCUGUGAGUGGCCAUUGAUAGAGUUGUUCUCAAGUAAGUUUUAAGCUUUCUGCAGCUUAAUUUAUUUAUGUUUUUCAUUUUUUGUUUGUUUCAAGUGACUGUUCCCUAUUUUAUUGAAACAGGACUAUUCAUACCUUUGACAUCAUCGGUACAAUUGAAGUGAAAUUUAUGUGUACAACUAAUGGUACAAAGUCAAAUGUACACAAAGGUUGUUUUUGAAGGUUCGAGAAAGAUAGCAAGAUCGCCAUGGUGCAAAAGUAGAAACGAUAUACCGAAUUUUUAACUUCAUAUAUCAUCAAUUAGA